AUGACCAGAGAUAAUUUGGAUAAGAGAAAGAUGGGGAAACUUUUGACCUGUGAAUUUUGUUCUGAUAAUGAAAGCAUUGAUCACCUUUUCUUUAGUUGUGCGGUAGCUAAAAACUUCUGGAAAGAUGUGUCUGCUUUCUUUGGUUUUCCCGUAGGGCAUGACUACCUGUCUGUAGCAAGGUUUUGGCCAGCUAGCAAGAACAAAUGUGCUUUAAAUUCCAUUUGUGCUUGUAUACUGUGGGGCAUCUUGAAAACUAGAAAUGCGCAUGUGUUUAAAAAUGCUAUCUGGUCUGAUGUUAAACAGGUUUGGAGGCUUAUCCUCUCGAUGAUCAAGAAAUGGAUGAUUCUAUUCAAAAAGGACUACCUCCCCCAGAUCGAGGCUUUUGACCAGUGGGUCUCGCAGCUGCUCAAAAACCCCUUCCGGCUGUCGAUGGGGUGA
rnacentral:rRNA from 1 species